UUUAAGCCAUAAACGAUUUUUCUUGUUGCAGGGGAUUGCAGUGGCAAAGCUAGGCUAGGUCUUGGAGGCUGGUGUAAGGCGAAGCGGUUGAAGGCAGGAGGCUGAUGGAGAGACUGGGGGGAAGAAAAGCCGAAAUGGAUUCACGGUGCUUUGGAUGGAGGAUGAGAGGGGAAUUGCAAGCUCCUUCAACUCGUUCUGUCCGGUGAGAAGUGAUCAAGCUUGGGCUGACAAGAGGCUCAGGGAGCCCUCACGUUCUUUCGCUUUUUUACCUGCCAAUCAAACUGCUACAAGACAACACCCUGAUCUGACAUGGACAUCGCGGGUCCAAGCCUGUAGCCCCAAAUCGGAUAAUCUCUGCAGCUGAUAACAAGCAAAAGAGAAGCCAGGCAACAGCCAUAUUAAAGAAGAAAACAAUCAACUCUGAGGAUACAGACAGGCUUGCAGAAGUUAACUAGACGUCCGACACACGCCAAAGUCUUGCGGGCCCAGGAUUUCAAACAAAAGAAAACUCGGGCACUUGAGCUUUCGGAUGAGGAAACUGGUGGUGGGCGAGCACUGUCCUGUGUUCCGCUUCUCAUUUCCACGUGGCCCAGGCAGGCAGAAGAAGGAGAAGGAACGUUAAUCCGACUGCAGCCACUCCAGCACACAAGCCAUGGGUAUCCAGGGGAGAAAACUGGUUUCAUGUCCUACAAAACUCUCCCCUUCUCCCGAGGUCCUUCACAAAAGGGUCCCUCAUCUCCAUCUCCCACCCCCACCCCCCACCCCCCACCAAAUGUGUGUUCUUGGGCCCACAAGUCAUUUCGGCAACCUGGGACUAAGUUAUGGGUUUUUUUGUUUGUUUUGCUUGCCUUUUCCUUUGCGUUUGUGGGUAUGGAUGUCUCUCAAACACCCAGAACCAAGGCCCUCACUCUAAACUUGAACCCUUCACCUUUGUGUCCCUCUUCUUCCCUUCUUCUGGGGCUGGUGGGUGCGGUGGCCAAGAGGCGGCCUUUCCUGAGGACAGAGCAGCUGGGGCAGCUGCGAUAGAGCAGCUGCUGUGUCUCGCCCCUCUUUUCUCAAUCAUUAAAAUUCAAUUUCAAAAUUUCUGUCUUGAACAAUUUCCUAAGGAGCCUAUGAAGGAUGCCAAAAGAGUGGGCCCCUUUUCAAGUGGUCGUGUCUCAGCAGAAGGCAGGCACUGGCCAAGUUGCCCUAGGCUGUGCCCUUCUGGAGCAGAGCA